rnacentral:miRNA from 10 species
CAAGAUGCCUAGUUAAGUUUGAAUUUCAGAUAAAGAACAAAUACCGUUUUAAUAUAAGUAUGUCCCUUGCAACAUUUGUGACAUACUUAUACUAAAAAUUAUCUGCUGUUUAUUUGAAAUCCAAAUGUGCCUAGGUGUCCUCU